CGCUGCAGCCCAGGCUGAGAGAUCCAGAGGGCCAAAGCGAGGCCGCGGCCACCCGUGCCCACAGCGGUGCCGGGCACACAGCCGCGCACCGCGAGGAUGUCCCAAGCGUCCCCCGCUGCAGUUCCCGCGCUCGGCCCACAGGUGGCAGACGUCCACCUUGCGGGACGCUCCCUGCAGAACUUUGCGAAGCCACCUAGGCGUGUGUGAGAAGCAAGACCCAAGGAGAAUUCCUUUCCACACAGAUAUCUUGGGGGAGGAAAGCCUUGACUGAAUUCAGGGAGGCAGUAUCGCUGGCAGCGAACAAGUUAGGUUCUAUUUGCAAAUAGCUUUCAAAUCACGCCGGGAAUUCUCCGAAGUGGCCACGCUGGUUGCCGCAGGAGUUCCAGUUCCAGGUAUCUGCCAUGCGCACUCCCUGGAGACCGUCGCCAACCUGAGGCAGGCACCCACACUUCACGGACCCGCAAACUCAUCCACAGGAGCGGCGCUGGGACCCUGCCCCGGGAGAAUCUUCGCAGCUGCUUGUCCUUUGCCUGCAGGGUCGGCCUGUCCCCACGGUGGGACAGAGGCCGUUCCCAGCCCCAGGCUGGCCCGCAGGGUCAGCGCGCCGUGCUAAAUGGCCACGUGGAGAAGGGGACAUCUCCUCGCAGCCCGGCACAACCCGAGGGAGAUGCACCUAUUGAGUGCACCCUAUUGAGAUGCACCGGCCGAGGACCCGAGGAGGAGGAAGCGGACUUAGGAAUUCUUAGCGAGAAGGGCCAGCAGCAUCCCUGUGGGUUUCCUCCUCACUGCCCCUCCCCUGCUCACCCGUGCUCGGCACCCAGGCGGGUCAGCUGUCUCUUAUCUGAGCAUCAAGCCCUCGGGGCUCUGCUAACAAAAAAACUUCCCGCCUGGAGCUCUUGCGGUGUGCAGGGCGCAGCGCCCGCCCACCGUUGGGCUGACGAUUGCCUACCGCAUCGGGCACCCAGGAACUGCGAAGAUGCGGCCGCAGGGACCCUCAAGAUCACCACUUGCCAAGUGCGAGAUGCAAGGCUUGCACUGUUAUCCACCUAA